ACACACAGUGUUUUUUGUUAUUACAAGAACUCUUGCUUUGGUCUGGACUAGAAAUAGUUUGGGCCAGAGGUUUACUAAACUAAACUUCAAUAUUUAUAUUGAAUUGUUAUUUAUUUUAAUUGUCAAUUUGUUGAUUAAAUUCAAAAAAUCUUCAAAACUUUCAACAACGGAUCUCUUGGUUCUCGCAUCGAUGAAGAACGCAGCGAAAUGCGAUAAGUAAUAUGAAUUGCAGAUUUUCGUGAAUCAUCGAAUCUUUGAACGCACAUUGCGCCCUUUGGUAUUCCAAAGGGCAUGCCUGUUUGAGCGUCAUUUCUCUCUCAAACCUUCGGGUUUGGUAUUGAGUGAUACUCUUAGUCGAACUAGGCGUUUGCUUGAAAUGUAUUGGCAUGAGUGGUACUGGAUAGUGCUAUAUGACUUUCAAUGUAUUAGGUUUAUCCAACUCGUUGAAUAGUUUAAUGGUAUAUUUCUCGGUAUUCUAGGCUCGGCCUUACAAUAUAACAAACAAGUUUGACCUCAAAUCAGGUAGGACUACCCGCUGAACUUAAGCAUAUCAAUAAGCGGAGGAAAAGAAACCAACAGGGAUUGCCUUAGUAACGGCGAGUGAAGCGGCAAAAGCUCAAAUUUGAAAUCUGGCGCCUUCGGUGUCCGAGUUGUAAUUUGAAGAAGGUAACUUUGGAGUUGGCUCUUGUCUAUGUUCCUUGGAAC
rnacentral:rRNA from 1 species